AUAAGCACAAGUUCAAAAUUUUCUCAGUUCUCUCACCGACCUAAGCCAAAGUUUCAAAGCAACAGUGCAACAUGAAUAUUCUAAGCUCACCGAUCUAGAAGCUAUUCUUAGCUCGUUACCCGAACUCCUUGAUACCCAGCUGAAACGAACAACGGCGGAACAAAUACGGCAGAAAAGAACAGCGGCAACACCAGAUCUGGAAUUGAAAACAAAGCGGAUUAGGGUCUUCGAUCCAAAAGAGAAGUCUGUGUUGAUUACGACUUACCGUAUACCGUAUAGCGGAGUAUACAGAAAAACUGGCAAAUCUGCAGAGAUAAUUUUUUGCGGUUGGUAUGUUUUUUUGUUUUACCGAUAUUGUGUUAAGACUGUGUAAAAAAACACUUAUAUAUGUCUGUAAAUUUCUUAUUAACCGUUGUACCAAUUCAA